AUUGAACGCUAGCGGGAUGCCUUACACAUGCAAGUCGAACGGAGUGGCGAACGGGGGAGUAAUGUAUCGGAACGUGCCCAGUAGCGGGGGAUAACUACGCGAAAGCGUAGCUAAUACCGCAUACUAUUGGAGCGGCCGAUAUCGGAUUAGCUAGUUGGUGGGGUAACGGCUCACCAAGGCGACGAUCCGUAGCUGGUUUGAGAGGACGACCAGCCACACUGGGACUGGGCCACGGCCCAGACUCCUACGGGAUGCAGCAGUGGGGAAUUUUGGACAAUGGGGGAACCCCUCAUCCAGCCAGUCCGCGUGCGGGAGGAAGGUCUGCGGGUUCUAAAGGACUUUUAGCAGGAACGCGGUACGUGCAGAAUAUGCACCAGCUUUUUACGAGCCAGCAGCCGCGGUAAUAC
rnacentral:rRNA from 1 species